ensembl:lincRNA 4930568G15Rik RIKEN cDNA 4930568G15 gene
CCCUUCCCUUCUCACAAAGCAGCAGGAGGAUGCUCCAGGAGAACUGUCUGCAGGAACGGAAUGGCCUUGUUGCUUUCUCUCUCAGAUAAAAUGUAUAGCAUACAAUUAAAAAUGAUAUGGUACACAAGGAAAUAAAGGAGAGAGAGAGAGAGAGAGAAGAAGGCGAACACCGUCCAGAUACAUAGGUGAUAGAGAUGCUGGAACUCUGCCGGGCAGCAACAGAGGGGACACUGAGUAAAGGUCAGACAGGAGGAGAGUGAGGCUGAAUCCGUAGCUGGAGACACAGGAAGACAACAACGAUGAGCUGUGGCUUGGUGGACAUGGAUGUUGACCUGUGAUGGUCAUCGUCUUCACCACCCUCAUGCCGACCAGAAGAGAGAAGUGUGCGCAGAAGGAAGUACAGAAUGUCAGAGGCAUAAAAGUAAAGACAGAGUCAGAGAAGGAGAGAGGACUUUAAAGGAUGUAGGGACACUUCAUUAUCUAGGAUAAGAUUAUUAACAUCAAAUUUUGAUGCAGGUCCACAAAUAUUAUAAUUUCAAGGGUAAUUAUUGAAUGAGUCACAAAUGCUUAUAAUAGAAGGGAAAAUGAAUAAUUGAAAUAAAAGCAAUUAAGUGUGUAGAGAGAAAAUGGAGAGGAAAAAAAGCAUAAAAUAAGCACAUAUCAAAUGUCAGAUGUACAUGUGCAUGUGUCAAAUUCUGUGAGUGUAACUGAAGUAGAUAUUGUGGUUGAAGUGAUCAGACUAUGCUAAGAAGAAACUUUAUAGUCUUUAUGAGAUGCAGUCACAUAUAAGGAUUUAGAAAGAAAAUGGGGAAAAUGAUUGGAAAAAUAUACAUUAAAAGCUAAAGCUGAAAGUGAAAGCUAAUAGAUAUAUUAAUAUUGGAUAAAAUAGACUUUAAGAUGGAAAACAUCAGUGUAAAUAAUAUAUAGAUUAUGACAAGAGAAUACCACACCAGGAAGCUAGGGUGUUUCUAAGCUUCUCUACUAAGUAUAAUGUCAAUAUGUGUAUCAUGGAGAUUAUGAAAACCCCAGGGCUCAGUAGACAAAGCUAUCAAUAUUAAGGAUGCCUUUACUGUAUGCCUAUCAGAGGAGGGAGCAAUCCAACAAUAAUUAGCAAGAAUUCAAAGCUGAAAAACACACCACUCAAACCUGCCCCAAAGGUUCCCAGAGAACAAAUUCUUACAAAGAUGGAACUGAUUAUUCUCAAGUGCAUAUACAAUACUCAUAAACAUUUAUCCUAUACAAGGCGAGAAAGACAACCUGACAUGCCAAGGAACUAUAUCUAUAUCGUGUAUCAUUGCCGUAUAGCUUUGCUUCAAAUCAAUGAAAAAAUUAGUUUAUAAUUGAAAACUAAAAAAUAAGCAUCUAAGUUACUGAUGAGAUAAAUAAGAAUUACAAUUUACAAAACAGAUUGUAUACGGAUGAAAAUAUGACUUAGGAUUAGAGCAGUGUUGUAUUGGUUAAGUUUACAUUGCUGUGAGUAGCUCUCUUCCCGGACCCCAGUGUGCCUCUUCUCAAGCCCUACCAGGGUGGACUGGUCUUGAGAUGAACAUGGUAAUGGAUCCUGGACCACAGGCCAUGGUGCGCUUAAUCUUUACAUUACUUUGAGUCAGAGGUUACCAUAGUACAUAGAAGGGACCGGCAUCUGGUAUAGGCUCAGGACUCCCAAGACCAUGUUCCAGCACAGAGAUUUAUUUGCCCCAGAAGGACAAAAGGCAGGGAAUAAGAGACAAAGACAUGAGUUAGAGAAUGAAGGAGAAGGGGAAGGGAGCAAGGAAGAGGGGGAGGGGUAUUUGUGCCCCCACAGUGGGAAAGGGGGACAAAGGACUGCCUCUGGAUAGAGAGGAGACAGAUGAGGCCCAUAGGCAAAUGGAGGUUUAAAAACAUAACAAGGGGAACCCUGUGUUAGGAUGAGGCAUUUAAUUUUGAUUUGGCUUGUUAAUUAGUGCUGCAAAAAGGGCUGUUUGAUUGCUGGAUUUGAAUACUUUGAUAGCUGUACCUUGGCAGUCAGCCUCUGGAGGAAGAGGCCGAAUAAGGGAAUAGACCUUGGUAGCUGUCUUUAGGAAGGCGACUCAAUGGUUUUUAGCAAGAGGGGAACAGGGGAGAAGGGCAAGGCCUGCCAGAGCCAUGCUUGCCACAAUCAGGUGCGCUAGAAUUCUUUCAUACAUGGUCAAAACUACCCCAUUACCUUCAAGAAGGAUCUUCUGAGAACCCCAUGCAGUGUGCACACUUAUCCCAUAAGGCACCACCUGUGGGCUGUAAGAAGAGACCAAGUGCACUCAGGUAGGGGAAAUGUCAAGCUAUGAAGACAUCUCAAAAGGAAAUAAGGAAGAGGCACACAGGAAAGGGGGCUUGGGAGAGCUGACCCGAGUCUCCCAUCUGUCUGUGAGCAGUGAACGAUCUUGGUGCUGCCAGCCAUCUUUGACUAUCUUCCGUCCUGCAAUCACAAGCAUUUUAUCUUCAUGCCUGGGUUACUCUUUUAUGUCCUGCCUCCAAAGGCUUGCUUGUAUAUAUUUCCCUGGGGAUCUGGGUAGGAUGGUAUGCUGUUUAAACUCGAUUAUAACUUUGAUGCACUUGAGAAUCACCUAGGAGACACCCAGAGGUGUGUGAAGGGCUUUAAAGAGAGGUUUAACUAAGAAGGGAGGAGCCACCAUAAAUGUUGCUAGCACAGUCCGUGGGCUAGGAUCCCAGACUGCAUAAAAAGGAGAAAACAAGUUGGGUAUGACAUUAAUCUGUUUCAUGAAUGUGGAGGCUCCAGAAGGCAUGGCACAUAGGGCUCUGGCAGGCCUUGCCCUUCUCCCCAGUUCCUUCUGCCUUGCUAAAAACCCAUUAGAUUACAUUCCUAAAUCUAGCCAUCAAGGUCUAGUCCUUCUUAGGACGAGGUGUUUAAUUGGAUAUGCUAAUUAGGCAGGCCAAAUGAGGGCUUUUGAUUGGUGGACUUCAAUACUCUGAUAGCUGGACCAUGGCAGUCAGCCUCAGGAGGAGCAAGUGGCCAAAUAAGGGACUAGACCUUGGUGGCUAGCAUUGGAACGUAAUCUAACGGUUUUUAGCAAGACAGAGGGGAUGGGGGCCAUGCUCGCCAUGCUCAGACCUGUUAAGGCCCUUCAGAUAUCCAGCCUGUUGAGCUGUCUGGAGACUGUCACGCUGGGGCGGCCUUUGGUGAUACAGCUGGUUUCGAGUCAUUUUCCCUUCUGUAAGUAACCCCAAUAAAACUCAAAAGUUG